AUUGAACGCUGGCGGCAGGCUUAACACAUGCAAGUCGAGCGAGCGGCGGACGGGUGAGUAAUGUCUGGGAAACUGCCUGAUGGAGGGGGAUAACUACUGGAAACGGUGGCUAAUACCGCAUACCAUCAGAUGAACCCAUAUGGGAUUAGGUAGUUGGUGAGGUAAAGGCUCACCAAGCCGACGAUCUCUAGCUGGUCUGAGAGGAUGACCAGCCAGACUGGGACUGAGACACGGCCCAGACUCCUACGGGAGGCAGCAGUGGGGAAUAUUGCGCAAUGGGGGCAACCCUGACGCAGCCAUGCCGCGUGAAUGAAGAAGGCCUUCGGGUUGUAAAGUUCUUUCGGUAGCGAGGCGUUAACUACAGAAGAAGCACCGGCUAACUCCGUGCCAGCCGCCGCGGUAAUAC
rnacentral:rRNA from 1 species